rnacentral:rRNA from 1 species
UGAGGAACAUGACCUUCGGCGGGGGAUAGCCGGCCCAACGGCCGGGUAAUACCGCGUACGACCACUUUGGGACAUCCCUCGGUGGUGAAAGCAGCAAUGCGCCGAUGGAGUGCCUCGCGGCCUAUCAGCUAGUUGGUGAGGUAACGGCUCACCAAGGCGACGACGGGUAGCUGGUCUGAGAGGAUGGCCAGCCACAUUGGGACUGAGACACGGCCCAGACUCCUACGGGAGCAG